rnacentral:rRNA from 1 species
GACGAACGCUGGCGGUGUGCUUAACACAUGCAAGUCGAACGGAAAGGCCUGCUUUCCCUUGUGGAUUGCGGGUGCUCGAGUGGCGAACGGGUGAGUAACACGUGAGUGAUCUGCCCCCAACUUGGGUAUAAGCCUGGGAAACUGGGUCUAAUUCCCGAUAGGACUGCAGGGUGGUGCCUGUGGUGGAAAACGAUUUUCUAGUGGUUGGGGAUGAGCUCGCGGCCUAUCAGCUUGUUGGUGGGGUAAUGGCCUACCAAGGCGGCGACGGGUAGCCGGCCUGAGAGGGUGGACGGCCACAUUGGGACUGAGAUACGGCCCAGACUCCUACGGGAGGCAGCAGUGGGGAAUAUUGCACAAUGGGCGGAAGCCUGAUGCAGCGACGCCGCGUGGGGGAUGACGGCCUUCGGGUGGUAAACUCCUUUCGACCGCGAGGAAGCCACCUGGUUGGAAGGGUGGUGACGGUAGUGGUAGAAGAAGCACCGGCUAACUACGUG